UAACCACACAGCAGAAGUGAAACCACCCUCAGCAAGCUCACUGGGGAGGAUCGGAGACGGAGAGAGAACCACCUCCUGGGGCUGCUGCUGGGACGAAGUGAGCACAGCGCCUGGAAGUGCUGACGAAACACCAGCUCCCGUUAUGAUCAUCAGUUAGCACCAGUGAAGAUGUUGUCAGCGUGAAAGGAUCCUGAAACGUCUCCAUCUCAGACUUCCUGAUUCUUGAAACUAACAAGGCUCCAGGCAUCUGGCUUCGGCAGUGGUGACGUGUGGGCUCACAGGCUGAGCUGCUCCACGGCAUGUGGGAGCUUCCCGGACCAGGCACGGAACCGGUCUCGCACACAUCGCAAGGCAGAUUCUUAACCACUGGACCACCUGGAAAGGCCUAGUAUAGAGUUCUUUAAGCUCACAGGCAAUGUCCAGACCACAGGAAGGGAGAAAUUAACAUCCCCUGUGGAGACUGACCAGAACCAGGAAAUGUUUGACCCUACCCUCUCCCUGAAUUCUAACUCAGGCAGGACGGUUCUUUGGGACAUGAGUCCACCAUCUUCUUAGCUUGCUGACUUUUAAAUAAAGCUGCUAUUCCUUGCCCCACCAACUUGUUUCUUGAUUUACUGGCCUGUCACGUGGUAAGCAGUAUGACCCUGGACUCAGUACCACUGUCCAUUAUCUAAGAGUGACCGGAAAAGCUGUGCAAUCUGUCUUGAGGUUUUCCCUGGGGGCAGAAAUAGAGAUUGGUGAAAAAGAAUAAAUCUGAUUUCUCUUCCCACCCUAAUCAAUAAAUAGAUUGCACACAAAAAUAGUGCUCUGUAGCUCUCCUCCCCCCUCUUCCCAUAUGCAACCAGCUUCAACUCUGUUUUUUACAGCAUUUGUCUCUACAGUUCUAAACAAU